rnacentral:lncRNA from 13 species
AAGACAGGAGAAAUGGACCAGGAAGAAUGUUGCUUGGCAAUGAAUCAAGAAAUAAAAAGAAGCCUCUGGCACCUGCAAAAAUGCUUUGAUUGAGCAUGCCCAAUUAUACACUUCUAGACAGGGAAAUCCUUUUAAAUUAGAAGUGACAAUUCUAGAUUAUAUAGUCUUGUGGGGAUUGUGGCAGACAACUGGGUGAAAAAGGCAUUACAAUGCUUCAUUAUACAUUACAUUCUGAUGGAUAAACAAAUUAAAAGCUUGGGCAUUGCAAGAAACUGAAAGAAUCAGAGGCCAAAAUAAUACGACUGUACCUCUCCAGUAUAUAUCCUCCAAAAUACAGUGAGGACUGAAAUUCUUCCAUAUGGCAUUUCUUCCAAAAUAUUAGCCACAGGGAAAGUGGAAUUGUUUACACUGAUGGAUUUCAUGGUAGGACUGCAACUGCUGUGAUCCAAGGAAACUCACAGCAUUGAUUACUGAAGAAAUACCUCUGUCUUCGACAUCAUAAACCCUUUCCUGAGUUUGAAGGCAUGUGCUGCUUCAACCUGACUGCUGGAUCAACUGGCAUGGAGGAUGGUAAUCAAUGUCCUCAGGACUGAAUAUGUGGAAUAAUACAACUUAUUAGUAGUGCAUGGCUAAUUGAAAAGUUUGGUUCACUGACAAGAGACACUUAACUCAGACCAUUCAUUGGUUUAUACUUUUUUCUAUAUGCUUUUUUAACUGGUCUCUUGAGCAAGUCGUGGAAUGUUGGGAGAAAUGGGUUAAAUAUAGAAGACUGACAAGAAAGACUGUGAGUCAGUCCAGUGACCUUGCAGCUGGGAGUAACUCUUGAUAAGCCUGUGUGAACAGCAGGCCAGUGAUCCUCCAGCAUGGACCAAGUUUAACAGUGCCUGUGUUUCUGCUUUUGUAUUUCUGCCCAGGUGUUGCUUCAGGGAUUCCCUGGUUAGCAAGACCUGGAGACAUGGAAGCCAUGGAAGUUCAGUUGGGCCUCAGCAACAUAAGAAGAGGGUGUAUGAAGUAAGAUGA